UACGGAGGGUGCAAGCGUUGUCCGGAUUCACUGGGUUUAAAGGGUGCGUAGGUGGCUUUGUAAGUCAGUGGUGAAAGCCCGGAGCUCAACUCCGGAACUGCCAUUGAUACUGCUUAGCUUGAAUCAACUUGAGGUGGAUGGAAUAUUACAUGUAGCGGUGAAAUGCUUAGAUAUGUAAUAGAACACCGAUUGCGAAGGCAGUUCACUAAGGUUGUAUUGACACUGAGGCACGAAAGCGUGGGGAUCAAACAGG
rnacentral:rRNA from 1 species